GACGAACGCUGGCGGCGUGCCUAAUACAUGCAAGUAGAACGCUGAAGAGAGGAGCUUGCUCUUCUUGGAUGAGUUGCGAACGGGUGAGUAACGCGUAGGUAACCUGCCUGGUAGCGGGGGAUAACUAUUGGAAACGAUAGCUGAUACCGCAUAAAAUUGAUUAUUGCAUGAUAAUUAAUUGAAAGAUGCAACUGCAUCACUACCAGAUGGACCUGCGUUGUAUUAGCUAGUUGGUGAGGUAACGGCUCACCAAGGCGACGAUACAUAGCCGGCCUGAGAGGGUGAUCGGCCACACUGGGACUGAGACACGGCCCAGACUCCUACGGGAGGCAGCAGUAGGGAAUCUUCGGCAAUGGGGGGAACCCUGACCGAGCAACGCCGCGUGAGUGAAGAAGGUUUUCGGAUCGUAAAGCUCUGUUGUAAGAGAAGAACGGGUGUGAGAGUGGGAAGUUCACACUGUGACGGUAUCUUACCAGAAAGGGACGGCUAACUACGUG
rnacentral:rRNA from 1 species